rnacentral:rRNA from 1 species
UGGGGAAUAUUGCACAAUGGGCGCAAGCCUGAUGCAGCCAUGCCGCGUGUAUGAAGAAGGCCUUCGGGUUGUAAAGUACUUUCAGCGAGGAGGAAGGCGUUGUGGUUAAUAACCGCAACGAUUGACGUUACUCGCAGAAGAAGCACCGGCUAACUCCGUGCCAGCAGCCGCGGUAAUACGGAGGGUGCAAGCGUUAAUCGGAAUUACUGGGCGUAAAGCGCACGCAGGCGGUCUGUCAAGUCGGAUGUGAAAUCCCCGGGCUCAACCUGGGAACUGCAUCCGAAACUGGCAGGCUAGAGUCUUGUAGAGGGGGGUAGAAUUCCAGGUGUAGCGGUGAAAUGCGUAGAGACCUGGAGGAAUACCGGUGGCGAAGGCGGCCCCCUGGACAAAGACUGACGCUCAGGUGCGAAAGCGUGGGGAGCAAACA